AAAAGGCAAAAGCUCCCCAACGAAGUGCGAGCGACCCACGUCCACACGACACGAACCACCACCACCAACCAGCAGCCGCACCACGCACCCAGCGCAAAGCGAUGGCGUCGCUCACCAUGAUGGCGUCCUUCGCCGCCGUGGCGGUGGCCGCGCCCUCGCGCCGCGGCACCUUCGCCGUGGUCAGGUCCGCCAAGGUCGACCGCUGCCAGGAGCCCGCCACGCUAGCAGCAACCGAGGCCAGGCCCGCCGCCGACGGACGCCGCGCCGUCAUGCUCGCGGCUGCUGCGGCGGCCGUGGCAGCCAUCGGCGGCGCCGGCGCCGCCAUGGCGGGCCCCAAGAACGGGACCCCCGAGGCGAAGAAGAAGUACGCGGCCAUCUGCGUCACCAUGCCCACCGCCAAGGUCUGCCACAACUGAGCACGCCCGCGUUGCAUGCAGCUGCAGGGCCGGGGGGUGGUAUAUAAUUAAUGUACGUGCCACGGUGUUGUUGUCCCUAUUGUUGGUUCGAGCUUUAGAUGCAUGCCUGACGUGAGGCCGCUUAAUUGCUUUCUGACGGCCUCGGAGCUGUAAGAAUAUCAAGUGCACUGCAAAACUGAAUUCGGUUGAAACCGUUCUUAUUUUAUCAUUAUAAUUUCGUUCGUGCAUUUCGACGACGUACGUGGAACGAAUGGCAGCAAAAACGACCAGCGUUGCGUAUAUAGGAACAAACUGUUGCGUGUUCUAUUUGAUCAGACUACAAGAUGAAA
rnacentral:lncRNA from 1 species